rnacentral:rRNA from 1 species
AUGAACGCUAGCGGCAGGCUUAACACAUGCAAGUCGAGGGGCAACACGGGUAGCAAUACCUGGUGGCGACCGGCGCAAGGGUGCGUAACGCGUGAGCAACAUGCCCUAUACAGGGGGAUAAUCCAGGGAAACUUGGUCUAAUACCCCAUAGUAUUUAGAGGUGGCAUCACCACUAAAUUAAAGCUUCGGUGGUAUAGGAUUGGCUCGCGUGACAUUAGCUGGAUGGUGGGGUAACGGCUCACCAUGGCGAUGAUGUCUAGGGGUUCUGAGAGGAAGACCCCCCACACUGGGACUGAGACACGGCCCAGACUCCUACGGGAGGCAGCAGUGAGGAAUAUUGGACAAUGGAUGGAAAUCUGAUCCAGCCAUGCCGCGUGCAGGAAGACGGCCCUAUGGGUUGUAAACUGCUUUUAUAUGGGAGCAAUAAGGUUUACGCGUAGACCGAUGAGAGUACCAUAUGAAUAAGCAUCGGCUAACUCCGUG